rnacentral:rRNA from 1 species
ACUCCUGCGGGAGGCAGCAGUAGGGAAUUUUGGACAAUGGGCGAAAGCCUGAUCCAGCCAUGCCGCGUGCAGGAUGAAGGCCUUCGGGUUGUAAACUGCUUUUGUACGGAACGAAACGGCCUUUUCUAAUAAAGAGGGCUAAUGACGGUACCGUAAGAAUAAGCACCGGCUAACUACGUGCCAGCAGCCGCGGUAAUACGUAGGGUGCAAGCGUUAAUCGGAAUUACUGGGCGUAAAGCGUGCGCAGGCGGUUAUGUAAGACAGUUGUGAAAUCCCCGGGCUCAACCUGGGAACUGCAUCUGUGACUGCAUAGCUAGAGUACGGUAGAGGGGGAUGGAAUUCCGCGUGUAGCAGUGAAAUGCGUAGAUAUGCGGAGGAACACCGAUGGCGAAGGCAAUCCCCUGGACCUGUACUGACGCUCAUGCACGAAAGCGUGGGGAGCAAACAGGAUUAGAUACCCCAGUAGUCCC